UACGAAGGGGACUAGCGUUGUUCGGAAUCACUGGGCGUAAAGCGCACGUAGGCGGAUUCGUAAGUUAGGGGUGAAAUCCCGAGGCUCAACCUCGGAACUGCCUUCGAUACUGCGGGUCUCGAGUCCGGGAGAGGUGAGUGGAAUUCCUAGUGUAGAGGUGAAAUUCGUAGAUAUUAGGAAGAACACCAGUGGCGAAGGCGGCUCACUGGCCCGGUACUGACGCUGAGGCGCGAAAGCGUGGGGAGCAAACAGG
rnacentral:rRNA from 1 species